rnacentral:rRNA from 1 species
AUUGAACGCUUGCGGCAGGCCUAACACAUGCAAGUCGAGCGAGCGGCGGAUGGGUGAGUACUGUAUGGGGACUGCCCGUUAGAGGGGGAUAACUACUGGAAACGGUAGCUCAUACCGCAUACUAUUGGAUAACCUAUAUGGGAUUAGCUAGUAGGUGAGGUAAUGGCUCACCGAGGCGACGAUCCCUAGCUGGUCUGAGAGGAUGAUCAGCCACACUGGGACUGAGACACGGCCCAGACUCCUACGGAGGCAGCAGUGGGGAAUAUUGUACAAUGGGCGCAAGCCUGAUGCAGCCAUGCCGCGUGUAUGAAGAAGGCCCUAGGGUUGUAAAGUACUUUCAGUCGGGAGGCGUUACCGACAGAAGAAGCACCGGCUAACUCCGUGCCAGCCGCCGCGGUAAUUC